GUAGGAAGCCGUUGUGUAGUAUUCAGGAGCCUUGGUGGUGUAGUAAGCAGCAGUGGUGUAUACUUGGGAGCCUCGGUGUAGUAGCUGGGAGCAGCGUAGGUCGUAGUGCUGUAGUAAGGUGCUGGAGUAG